rnacentral:rRNA from 1 species
ACGGAGGGUGCUAGCGUUGUUCGGAAUCACUGGGCGUAAAGGGCGCGUAGGCGGCUGUGGCAGUCGGGUGUGAAAGCCCGGAGCUCAACUCCGGAACGGCACUCGAGACGCCAUGGCUGGAGGCCGGAAGAGGAGGGUGGAAUACCCAGUGUAGAGGUGAAAUUCGUAGAUAUUGGGUGGAACACCGGUGGCGAAAGCGGCUCUCUGGUCCGGACCUGACGCUGAGGCGCGAAAGCGUGGGGAGCAAACAGGA